CUUAAAAUAAAAAUAAAUAGAUUAAACUUUUUUUUAUUUUAAACAAAGAAUGAUAGACUAAUAAAAAAUAGUAUUAUAUUAAGAUAGUGAAAAAAACCACUUAAUUGUGAAUUUGUGGUUUAUAUAUACUUACUAAUUGGGUUCAUAUUUACUGAAAAACAAGUUCAAUAUACUAUAUAAAUAUUUAUUUUAAAUAUGAUUUAAAAGUUCCUAAUUAAAAAGUUUGGAGGGUGCGCACCCCACGCUUGUGGGGAGCAGGGGGGCUUGGGAGGGCCAUGGCCCCCUCUAGUCUCCAAGUAGUUCCACCUCUGUAUAUCCAGCCAAGUUGGUUAAACCAACCAUUCAAAUCUGUUCAAUUACUCCUCCCCACUUUUCUGCAGUUGAUUUUACUUGCUAAUAACUUGUAUUGCCUUGUCUUCCUUUAUUGAUAUCUCAAACAUCAUUAUCCCAUUCCCAUCACCGUUAUGACCCCAAAUAUAAAACAACCAAACAUUUUCCAACAUCGAUAAUUUUUAUGAACCAUGAACUUCGAGACUUACUCUGGAACUUCUUUAGAAUCACAAUUUGAAUACCCCAACCUAAUCUCCACCUCUUCAUUGCUACCAAAACUUGACUAUUAAUACUGAAAAGAAACUUAAUAUAUUUAAAUAUGAUGGCAAAUGAGUUUUGGUAGAUUUUUGGAUGGAGAAGCAAGCAUCUAAAACUUAGUAAAGGAAAAAGUUAAACAGCAGGAUCAAGAACAACAACACUGGCAUACAUAAGAGGUAAGAAAACUUUAUGAUAUCUGAGUAUUUGUACAAAGUGGCAAUGUGCAUAACAAAAGAGCAAAUAAAGCACCCAAAAAGAAGCAGCAUGAUUCCUGAACAUUCAGAGAAAUAAAGUUAUUAUCUUUUCCAAUAUUCAGCCCAACAAGCCCAAUGUUUUUUUACCUGUUUCUUUUGUUCUCGGAGAAGAGGGGUCAGGGAAAAUUACCUGUCAAGCUUUGCAGCGAUUGCUCAAGCUCCCAACAAGCCAUUACAGCCUCCAUAGCAUGAACUCGCACAUGUUGUUGCAAUUGAUCUUUGAAGGAACAGAGUAAUAGAACAUAUUGUGUCAUAAACUGAUCAAGCUCUUUCUGGUCCACCACUUGACCGUUCCCAAGCACAGAAUACUUAGCCACCACUUCCUGCGAUUGAGCCAGCUGCGUGUCGAUCCUAGCCAGCUGGUCCACCGGCGUCGCUAUUCUCAAACAAGCGACAUGCGCUGCUAGCAACUGCUCGUAAAGCGGAUGACCCAAUAUCUCCGCUUUGCACUUCGCCCUCUCCCAAUUAUCCCCACCACCAACGCCACCAUCUAUCAACUCAUCCUCGCCACCGUUGUUAUUAUUAUUGUGGUCGCCUUUCUCGCUUUGGUUCCGACCCAAAACGUCGUCGUUAAGACGGAGAACAGCGUUGCUAAGCCACGCAGGGCCAGCAGAGGCGGAGGAAGAGGCAGACGCAGAUAGUGGUGACUGAAAAGCCAUUUCGUGUGAAAUAUGAUCUUGAAAAGCCAUUUUUGUGCCCAAGGAAGCACUUUCACCACAACAUUUGAGAAGAAAGCAACAACCCAGAAGAAGAGAAAAACAAAGGGGUAGGUUCUAUGCUGGUGAGGACAUAGGAGCAGAGCUGCUUGUGUUGGCUCUUCAAUGGAGUUUUACAGAGAGAGCCCGUGUUUUUUGGUUUUGAGAAAAG
rnacentral:misc_RNA from 1 species